UACGUAGGGUGCGAGCGUUAAUCGGAAUUACUGGGCGUAAAGCGUGCGCAGGCGGUUCGUUAUGUCCGAUGUGAAAGCCCCGAGCUCAACUUGGGAAUGGCAUUGGAAACUGGCGGGCUGGAGUGUGGCAGAGGAGACUGGAAUUCCUGGUGUAGCAGUGAAAUGCGUAGAUAUCAGGAGGAACACCGAUGGCGAAGGCAGGUCUCUGGGCUGACACUGACGCUCAUGCACGAAAGCGUGGGGAGCAAACAGG
rnacentral:rRNA from 1 species